GACGAACGCUGGCGGCGUGCUUAACACAUGCAAGUCGAACGGAAAGUGCCCAGCUUGCUGGGUGACUCGAGUGGCGAACGGGUGAGUAACGCGUGGGUGAUCUGCCCUGCACUUUGGGAUAAGCCUGGGAAACUGGGUCUAAUACCGAAUACACCCUGCUGGUCGCAUGGCCUGGUGGGGGAAAGCUUUUGCGGUGUGGGAUGGGCCCGCGGCCUAUCAGCUUGUUGGUGGGGUGAUGGCCUACCAAGGCGACGACGGGUAGCCGGCCUGAGAGGGUGUCCGGCCACACUGGGACUGAGAUACGGCCCAGACUCCUACGGGAGGCAGCAGUGGGGAAUAUUGCACAAUGGGCGCAAGCCUGAUGCAGCGACGCCGCGUGAGGGAUGACGGCCUUCGGGUUGUAAACCUCUUUCAAUAGGGACGAAGCGUAAGUGACGGUACCUAUAGAAGAAGCACCGGCCAACUACGUGCCAGCAGCCGCCGUAAUAC
rnacentral:rRNA from 1 species